ensembl:lncRNA
CUAAUUUCUUCUAAUUAUCAAUAUAUGUUUUUUAUUUAUUAUAUGUAUUUUACUUUUUUUUAAACCAAAAAACGUACUUUCUCCGUCCUUUCUAAAUGAUUCUAAAUGAUGGAGCUUCAUUACCGACCAACUCACGGGCUGCUGGCCAACUUCGUUCCAAAUCAGUCAUUUCCAUAAAGGCGACUGUUGCGUUUGUGGAAAUGACUAUUUUACUAUUACUGCUUUGUCGUCUCCAUGUGAACACGAUCCGUCUCCCACCUGGGGAAGGUAUCGCACCGGGCCCCUCUCUCCCUAACUAUCCCGUCGCCAUGCUGCUGCUCUGCUCAAGCGCUGUGAACUGCGGCACAGCCUCCUCUAAGCCUAAUCUGUCUCCCCCCCUCUCUCGCUCUGUCUGUCUCUCUCUCUCUCUCUCUCUCUCCCUCCCUCCCAUCCCCUCCCCCGGCUUGUAUGCGGCGGCUGUGAGAAUGACCUGUCUGCUCCUUCACACUCAAACUGUGUUUGAUUGUUUGAUUUACUUGUCCUCCUCUCUCCCUUUUUCUUCCACACACUCACACCCCCCCCCUCCCCUCCCUCUCUCUCUCGCUUACCUUCACUCUACAACGUCUAUACGGCCUUUCCUUCGUCCUCUCCACUAUAACCUUUUUUAUUUUUGGGUUAUUUUUUUACCUUGAGUUCGUCCCUCUUUCUCUCUCUUUACUUGACUGUUGCUUUUCUCUCUCUCUCUCUCUCUCCUCCAUUUGAUCUCUCCCCCCUCUCUCUUCUUCUCCGGCUGUCGCUCUCCCUUUCCUCUAUCUGCCUGUACCAGGAGCCAUGGCUAAUCAUCUUAUAACUAAUGCUCUCCUUCGUCCCCAUGGUACUAACAAUCCUUAUAACACUCUCCGGGGGGAUUCGGCAGUCUAUAACAACCCAGCUGUGGGCAUGUACAACACCCAAGCGCCGUACCGAGACACAAAGGGUAUCCUGAACAACGCAAGAGACUCCAGCGUGAUGGAUACGCUCCCUCUCAACGGC